UCUUUCUCUGACUAUAAACAUUUGAUCCAAACACAUCAACCAUUUCAAUUUCUCAAUCUCUGUUUUCAUCAAUUACGUUUACAUCUUUCAAUAUGGCUGAAGCGCUUGUGGAGAUUGUGUUGGAACAAGUUGUUUCAAUCAUUCGUCAACAGGCGGAAGAAGGGAUAAGGCUGAUUGCAGGUGCUGAGCAAGAAGUUGAGAAGCUUCAGAGCAAUUUCAUGGCCAUUCAAGCUGUGCUUACUGAUGCUGAGAACCGACAGGUGAAGGAGAACACUGUGAGAGUUUGGUUAGACAAGCUGAAAGACGUGUCUUAUGAAAUAGAUGAUGUGCUGGACGAGUGGAACACCAAGCUUCAGAUAUUGAAGAUUAAGAAAGCUGAAGAUGCAUUUAAUCCUAUGAAAAAGGACAUGUCAGAAAGGAUACAAGGUGACCCUACUAGAAAUAUUUGGCCUUGCUGUUCCAGUAUUUGUAAUGAUGAUGUCAAAGGUGGCCUUUUACACUCUCAUUACAUAUUUUGCUGCAUCGAUGGGAACACUCACCUUGGCUACUCAUCAAGUCAUGGUUCAAACAUUCCUGAUGUGUUCAGUGUGGGGUGGGCCUCUGUCUCAAACUGCACAAUCAUUUAUGCCUGAGUUUUUAUAUGGAUUAAAAUGGAGCUUGGCAAAGGUGGCCUUUUACACUCAUUACAUAUUUUGCUACGUUGAUGGGAACACUCACCUUGGCUGCUCAAGUCUCACUGUGCAACACAAUUUUGUCAAUCUGAAAGUUGAAGAUCUGCAAAAGAAUGAGUGGUGUUCUUCCAAGUUCAUUUCUUUCAAUCAAAACCUCAACCCCACUUCAUUUCUGGUGCUUCUUUGAAUCCAGCACAUAA